rnacentral:tRNA from 1 species
AUUUAUAUAGUUUAUAAAAAAUAUUAAUUUGUGGAAUUAAAGAAAUUUAUUAAUUAUAAAUU